rnacentral:sRNA from 1 species
GACAGGCGCAUGCAAUUACCUUUGUGAUGUCAUGAAAAAGUUAAUAGAAAAUUGAACGUUAAUUUUCGCUAUCCUGUAGGUUCUUAUAUGGAAACAUAUUUUCAUGUGCCGGUAAAUAUAUGUACAUGUACAUAUUAUAAAAUGUAUGGUUGUAAAGGAUGAUGGAUGGUCUUGAGCGAUUGUAUUCUGUUUAGACCAGUACUCUGUACAUUAAUCAGCAACAGGUGAUCAGCGUGGACAGUCCUGUGAUACUCAUAACUUGUUAAUUAUAUUUUCUUGUUUCUGUGUAUAUUUAUUACCCGAUACCGUAAGUACUUAAUACGUUAUUAUUGGUAUUUUUAAUUUGUUAUUUAGGCCAUGUGUUACCUGUAUUUGGUUUAGUUAAUGUAUAUUACCUGUAUUGUACUCCAAAAUAAAAGAGCCAUUUUUUUUGAAAAUCCUUUUAUUCUAAAGAUUUUGCCUUCAUGUAUACAUUUUGUAUGUUUUUAUUGAUACAUUUUGUAUGCCAAUGCACGUACAUAGUAUGACAGUUAAAAUCAUGGAAAAGAAAUUAGACAGAAAGUAGUUCCUCUCUGAAACAUAUGGUUUUUGUUCAUUAUAAAAAGAUGAAUUAAAGCUAUUUUUAC